rnacentral:rRNA from 2 species
GAUUUCUGGUUGGAUGUGUUUAGCCCGCCAUGGUUUCAUGUGUGAGUGCUGAUGCUCAUCUUCCAUCCGUCUAGUUGCGGCGCCGCUCUUCACUGAGCCGGCGCCGUGCGCUAGACCUUUUACUUUGAACAAAUUAGAGUGUUUCAAGCAGGCGUCACGCUGUGAAUACAUUAGCAUGGAAUAAUAAUAUAGGACUUCGGUUCUAUUUUGUUGGUUUCUAGGACUGAAGUAAUGAUUGAUAGGGAUAGUUGGGGGUGCUAGUAUUCAGUGGCCAGAGGUGAAAUUCUCGGAUUCACUGAAGACUAACUUAUGCGAAAGCAUU